CACAGAGUCGGACACGACUGAAGCGACUUAGCAGCAGUAGCAGUAGCAGUUAAAUAUCUAUGAUGUAUAGAAACGGGGAAGUAAAUGUUCUCUUACUUAAUACAUGCCUAGAAUGGUAGAUUGUGGAGAAAAACCUCUCAAAACAUGGAUUCAGAUAAUCAAGUAAGUCCCUUGUGAUGAUAAGGUUGAGAACCACCACUCUAUAUUCCAGUCCAAUGGACCACUUUGCUGCUGUUUCUUUCCCAAGCCUACUGGCAUUUUCCUGUCCUCCCAGAACUGUUGAAUGCAGUUUUCUCUGCCUUAAAUUCCCUCCCCAUCAUCUCCUAGUACCUGAAUCCUCUGCAUUCUUUAGGGACCUUAGCGGAAGUCUGUCCUCCCACCUAAGACCUCCUAAGUAGAGUGCUCUUUCCCUUUCUGCAGCCUCUAGCACCUCCCAGGCACUAGGGCUGCGUGUUCUGCCCCCUCUUAGACCAAGCCACUGCAGGUGGGAAUGAUGUCUGCGCAGUUCGCAGGACCUCACUCAGCGCUUAGAAAACGGCAAACAGCGUGGAGAUGGUGGCGAGGGAUAUAACCCCGGAGCCCCCGGAGCCCGCCCCUUCGGCGCUGCCUGUCGGGCCACUGGGCGGGUGCUGAAUUCAUUUCCACCUCAUUAACUCGGCCCCAGGCCCGCCCCCGCCAGCUCCCGCUUCUGUUCCCCAUCCCUGACACGACCGCCUCCUUUUUCUUCCUUCUCUUUUCCUCUGUCACCUUGCCAGCUCGGCUUCCAUCGCUUCGCCUAUCGUCUCUCCAUCUCUUUCUCCUGAGUCUGUCUGGGUCUCUGUCUUUGGGUGUUGCUCUCUGCCCUGUUCCUGCAGCUGUCUGGGGCUCCGCUUCGUUGCUCCACACGCCCCGCCCCCUGCCCAGGCCCCUCCAAUCCCGGCGGCUCGGGCCUGGCGCUNNNNNNNNNNNNNNNNNNNNNNNNAGCCCCCCGCCCCCGCCCGCCCGGCCCCUCCAGGUCCCUCCAUUCACGCAAAGUUUGGCUCUGCGCUGCGGAGGGAGGGGGCGGCCCGGCCCGGCCCAGCUCUGCCCCCGGCCGGCCCGACCCCAGCCCCGGCCCCUGGACCAGCCCUUAUCUGAUCCCAGCUCCGGGUUUAAGAGUCCUGGCCCUGCCGGUCGCACAGCUCCUUUCCUCACGCCUGCCCGCCCCAUCCGUCCGUCUGUCCCGCUGCCCAUCCGAGGGGCCACUCCACCCUGGACCCAAGGUAAGACCCUGGCCCUAAUGAAAGAGUGCUGCCGCCUAGGCCGGGGUCCUGUUUACCUCACUCUUCAGAGAUACCGGGGCCCCCAGUCCCUGGGUCCCUCAGUGGUACGGUCCUAUUCCUUAGCCUUCCACCUUGGGCGUCUGGGAAGGGCUCUCCAAGAAGGGAAAUUUACCUAAGCUGGUCACCUCAGCGCUUUCAGCCCAGGAAGGGGCUUUCCUAAUACUCCUUCCUAUUGGGCAGACCUGCAGUUGCAUCACAGCUUUCCAACUAAUGCAGUAACUACCGCAGAUAACCAUGCACGCACCACAGGCACUCCAGACAGCGCCCCCUUUUCCCAGGAUCAUCAGGUUACUCCCACUCCCAUGCCCAGCCCCUUUCCCCCUCCCCAUGCUGUGACACAUAGUGACACCCACACAUAAUUCACACAGGGGAAGAAAGCUGUAUGUGUAACUACUGCUCGUAUUAUUCAGCUCAGAUUAGGGAGAUGUAGUAGCUUGGUAUAACUGGGACCCCCUGCCCACUUAAUUUCUUCCCUCCACUCCAACUUGCCUCCCAUUUCAAGACAUGCCUCCCCGUUAAUAACCCCCUCCCCACUGCAAGGUGAGACANNNNNNNNNNNNNNNNNNNNNNNNNNNNNNNNNNNNNNNNNNNNNNNNNNNNNNNNNNNNNNNNNNNNNNNNNNNNNNNNNNNNNNNNNNNNNNNNNNNAUGCCUCCCCGUUAAUAACCCCCUCCCCACUGCAAGGUGAGACAGUUGGGAAAGUGGGGUGGUGAAGAAGCCAAUACAAAUUUGGACCCCAAGGAGGCCUAGACUUAAAGCCUGAUGCUUUGCUUAUCGAUACACAUUCUGGCUAAAGAUUUUUAGCCUGUCUGCCUUGGUUGUGGUGCUUGAAUUUUUUUUCCCCACCAGGACUGCUUUAGGCAUUUCUGGGUGGGAAGGAGAUGGUGAGAGAUUUGGUGUCCUGUGAGGAGUGACGCUUGUUUAGGAAUAAGGUGGGGGGCUUGGGGUGGCUAUCAGGAAACCGGUUUGAGGAGAGACCAGCAGCUGCCACUGAGUUCCAUUUAGUUUCAUCUUGAAACUGUCUCCCUAAUCUCCAAGGAUUUCUGUUCUAUGUUCCUGCCAUGAUGGUGGGCACCAUCCUGUGCUGAGGAGCAGGCUUAUUAAUUCCUCAUAGUAAAAGCUGGGUACUAGGGACCAAGUGUAGAAGGAACCAGGUGUCCUGGUUUAUAGUUAGUUCUUCAGGGAGGAGGAAAUGAGGGAGGAGGGGAGGGAAGGCAUCAUGCCAAGGAGGGGGGCCAGGGCUGGUCCACAGAGGCAAUAGGCAUGGCCCAGGCAGUGCCAACUCCUUUUCACCGCCCUCCAGUCCUUUGGUGGUGGUGGCGCGGGAGGGAGAGAGGGGGUGUUGGGGGUGAUCUGGGCCAGUCCAGCCUCCCAAAGCCCUUGCCAACCUAGGUCCUGAAAGGAGCUGCUGUUUUCUGAGUCAUCCCCCCACCCUCCACCCUGAGCAGAGCAGCCAACUUGUCUCAG
ensembl:lncRNA